AAAUUGGCCAAUUACAAGUUAAAUUCACUAAAUUGGCAGCAUUAUUAACUAAAAGACCAAAUAUGGGCUCCUCUUUGUUUUCUGAAUUUCAGCCAGCCCAAACGCAUAUGCAUUUUCCCAAAGACGCGCCUCACGAUAUACACGGCGUGGGAGGAGAUUCAACGCGCCAGACGACUUUGUUAUUUCCCUUAAACAUACUCAUCUCCGUACGAUGGCAACUAUCGCAGCAGGAUUUUCAGACGCGAAUCGUCCUUGCCAUUACAAGGUGGAGCCACGUCAAAGCAAGGGAAUUUGGGAUUGAUCCCAAUUGUCUAUCUCUUUUCCUUUUCUAACUUGUUGUCCAACUUUCUGUAAAGGGUUUGAUUCCAUUCUGGUGCUAAUUUUUUGGUUUUCAUAUUUCAAAUGGGAUAAGGGGCUGAUUUGUUAACUUCACCUUUGUGAAACCCUAAUUCUUCCCCCUAUAUAAUAUCCUUUAAUUGUGAAUAAAGGGCAUUUUUUUGGACAAAAGGAAGUUAUCUCUUUUAGCCGAAGUCUUUUCUUUUGUUUUGGAAAGAGUUUACAGAUAGAUAGCUCACAAAAAGGAGAAAAGAAUCGGAGUUUUUAUUUUGUUUUGAGAUUCUAGGUGGAAGUUUUAGGCAAGAAACAGAGAAAAAAAAGGGGCUCGGGAGUUGAAACCUUUUACCUUCGGUUGGAAAAAAUUGAGCUUUUUGUGAUUUUGUUUUUGCCUUUCGCUCGCUGUCCCAGUUCGCUGCACACGAAAAAGUAAACUCGAUUUCAAUUCCAAUUCCUUGGACGUGUUGUCUGAUAAUCCGUGUUCGCUUUUGAUUGGAGUCCGUUGCUGUUUUUCUCUCAUCCCUAUUUUCAUUAUUUUCGAUUUACUACUAAUUAUGUGACAACCAUGAUUAGAUGGUUUGUAGUUUUGGUCGCAUGAAAUAUGAGUCCUCGUGGACUUCAUUCUAUUCCCGCAUUUUUUAGAGCCGUAAGGGCCCAACUUCCCUUUGUCCAAGUCAAUCCCACUCUAAAAUUGACGUACAGGUCCCGAGUUGGAAGGAUUCGAAAAUCAAGAAGACGGAUAUUUGAAGAAGUUGGACCAAAUAGGCCCAUUUUACCUAUUCAUUCUUUAUUGUAUUUUGUUAUUUUUUGGGUCUAAGCCCUUGUCGUCUUCUAUUUUCUGUUAUUAUUGUAUGUUUAGUCUAGGACAAGUACAAAAAAAGUGGUCCUAAAGGCCCAAAAUGAAAAUGGGUUUGGGUCCAA